CCUAUUAAGCCCUGUGUGUGACCCAUAGCACAUUUUCAUAUUAACUAUUCAUCAAGUAAUAAAUAUAAAUACACCUAUAUUCUAUAAAAUUCCUCUUUCGAUCAUGCUCAGAUAGAAGAAAAACAUUAAGAAACUGUAACUCAAAAACUGUUCCUCCUAAAAGCGAAAGUAAAAUGAAAAGGCUUUUAAAUGAAGUUAUCUGUAACAUGUACAUAAAAUAGUAAGUGCAGAGCAAUACAUUUGUAAAAUCUAUACCCUGACAUAAGCAUGUAAACCAUGGGUAAACAAAACUUAAAUCCUGAAUUAUGAACUCUAGCUACCAACAGGAAUUAGAUAUCUAAUACAUUCAGCUUCUUUUGUCAAAUAACUUCAAUCUACGAUCUACUAUACCUAAGAUUUGCCAGUGAGGAGGAGAAAGAUACGAAAAAUUGAGCUUAAAAUUCAAAAAUCCAUGUAGGUACAAACAACUGAAAUAAAAGUUUAAAAUGCAGUUUUUGUUAAGAGGGUAGCUAGUGCACAACUCUUAAAUUAAGCCUUAGUAAAAAUAUAUAUAUAUUACGUAUAUAUGUAAUACAUAUUUGAUGACCACCUAAAUCUUCUAAUAAAAAGAUAUGAAACAGAGGUCAAACAGAAGUCAAACAAAUACCAAUAAUCUGAAAAACUAACACUGAGCUCAACUCAGCAAAAUGCACUGUUUGUUGUUUUCAUCAGGUUCACCAUAAAAUAUUAGAUUUUUUCAAGGGGUUACUAAGAAAAAUAAAUACAACAUGUGAGUAAUAAUUUCACUUCAAAAAUGUGCCUGCCCCACUGUUUUCAUAUAUUAUUACUCUAUCAAAACUAUUUGAAAAACAGUUCAUUUCUUACAAGUCAAAUAAUGAGGGGUUAUUAAUAAAAUUCUAAAAUGGAGACUAAGAUACUAACUACUGAAGAAAAGAAAACAUACAUGAGCUGCUUAUGUUCAGGAACUAAUAGGUCCAGUGAGCAUUUCUAAGAUUAUUUAGCCAUCAAAGAUAAUGAAUUGACAUUGUCAGUGGUAUUAAUGUACCAGUGCUCUCUCCUGCCACUAAGCUCAGAGCCAACUCCUGUGCUGCUUUUUUUUUUUUUUUUUUAAUGUUUUUCACUUCAAUUUUUAACCUACGUAAUGCUCUAUCCCUUUGAAACACAUAAAUACAGAACAACCUAUGAUACUUUUUCUUUAGCAUUACAGGGUAUUUAACUCAUUAUUGUUCUGGUUCAAGUACAGAGAUCAAUAGGCAUUCUUCAGUUUACUGUAAUUCUUCAGAACUUUUAGCUUCACUGUAAAAAUACCUACCCAGUUCAAAUUGUUGCUUUGUGACCCUUAAAUUUCACUUUAAAAAAUUAACUUAUUACUCUUGGCCAAGUAAAAUUCAAUUCUUAAGAGAUACAAUUUUGGCAUAUAGACUGCUUUUUUUUAUGCAUACACAUACAUGCAAACCUCUAGGAUAGCAGUAUAAAACUCCACAUACCUAUUUGUACUCAUAAUUCUUUACUUGGGAAUCAACUACAGAAACCGCUAGUGUAACACUUCAGUUGUACAUUGUAAGCAAUGAGCUAAGCAAAGCCUGCACUGUUCAAAUCACACAACCAAAACCAAAU
rnacentral:lncRNA from 1 species